GCCAGCCAGGGUGGCAGGUGCCUGUAGUCCCAGCUGCUUGGGAGGCUCAAGGAUUGCUUGAACCCAGGAGUUCUGCCCUGCAGUGCGCGGUGCCCAUCGGGUGACACCCAUCAGGUAUCUGCACUAAGUUCAGCAUGAAGAGCAGCGGGCCACCAGGCUGCCUAAGAAGGAAUGAACCAGCCUGCUUUGGAAACAGAGCAGCUGAAACUCCUGUGCCGAUCAGUGGUGGGAUCACACCUGUGAGUAGCCACGCCUGCCCAGGCAACACAGACCCUGUCUCUUGCAAAAUUAAAAA
rnacentral:SRP_RNA from 10 species